AGGACGAACGCUGGCGGCGUGCUUAACACAUGCAAGUCGAGCGGAAAGGCCCUUCGGGGUACUCGAGCGGCGAACGGGUGAGUAACACGUGAGUAACCUGCCUCUAGCUUCGGGAUAGCUCCGGGAAACCGGAAUUAAUACCGGAUAUGACCACGGCCGACAUCGGCCACGGUGGAAAGAUUUAUCGGCUAGAGAUGGGCUCGCGGCCUAUCAGCUUGUUGGUGGGGUAACAGCCUACCAAGGCGACGACGGGUAGCCGGCCUGAGAGGGCGACCGGCCACACUGGGACUGAGACACGGCCCAGACUCCUACGGGAGGCAGCAGUGGGGAAUAUUGCGCAAUGGGCGAAAGCCUGACGCAGCGACGCCGCGUGGGGGAUGAAGGCCUUCGGGUUGUAACCCUUUCGGCAGGGACGAAGCGAAAGUGACGGUACCUGCAGAAGAAGCGCCGGCUAACUACGUGCCAGCAGCCGC
rnacentral:rRNA from 1 species